AGUGGCCAAUAUUGAUCCGAGUGGUGACCUUGCAGAGUGGAUGGAUACAUUCAGUUUUUGUGUCUGUGAUUUUUUAUUUAUUAUUAUUAUUAUUAUUAUUUUUGGGGUUGGUUGAUGAAAUUUUGCGGUUCUUGAGAUCUCUAAUAACAUGACUUCAGAAGCUUACUGAAGAUCUAUCGAGGUUCGACAAAGGUUGAUGGUGGUUCUCAAGCUGCGUGGCCAAUUGUUGGUGAUAAUGUUGUUUUUGUUAGCUAAGGUUGAGGAGAACAUAGAGAACAAUAGGAGUAAACCGUAAGUCCGUUGAUGCCUAUUUUGAAGGUAUUGCACAAGUAGAUUCUUCAAACAUUAUUAUGGGUUUAUUGAGCUAUGCUUUACGUCCAGGGCCCAUGACCAUUAUUGGUUUAUUAAGCCAUGCUUUACGUCCAAGGCCACCUGUUCCUAUCUGUCCAAGGGUCACAUGGGCCCUGGACAAGUAUCUUUAUCCUUUUUCAGAACAUAAAAAGUACUUUUUUCAAGGAUUGCGAUGUUGGAUAGGAUGCGGAUAUGAAAAUGAAAAAUGCAAGAGAAGUUGUCAAGUGUACGGUGACCAUGAUUUAAGGAUGGUGGUUUCUGAUGGAUUAGUUGGAGAAGGAGAUGAAAUUCUUGACUUAAUAUAUGAUUGUGA
rnacentral:lncRNA from 1 species